rnacentral:lncRNA from 1 species
AAAAAAUCGAUUUUUCGCAUUUUCAAAGUGCUAUAAUUCCCUUAGUUUUUCUCGAAACUCAUUAUAACCCGGUGUUUUCGUGUUGUAGGUGAUGGGAACAAGCCGCUGGUAUAGUUAGUUCAAAUUCGAAAAAAAUCAAUUUUUGGUGAAAAAUUCGAUACGGGGGGGUAUACCCGAAAAAUGAAAAAACCCAAACUUUGAAGGCCUAUAUCUCGGCUUCUAUGGGAGCUAUCGGGAAAAUUCCAACGGUUUUGUCUUAGUUUCGUCCUUCUGAAUCCAACGAGGCUAUCCGCAAGGUCGUAGCUCCCAUAUUAGCUGAGAUCUCGCAUUUUUGUGGCCCAUUUUUGGGCUCAAAAACGGGGUCGAAAAUUGACUUUUUUCCGAAUUUUCAAAGAGCUAUAAUUCCACUUGUUCUGGUCGAAUUUCGUUAUAACCCGGUGUUUUCGUAAUGUAGGUGAUGGGAAUAAGCCGCUGAUAGGGGUUUCUAUAGCUAUUUUUGGGUUUAAAGAAAAUCGAUUUUUCGCAUUUUCAAAGUGCUAUAAUUCCCUUAGUUUUUCUCGAAACUCAUUAUAACCCGGUGUUUUCGUGUUGUAGGUGAUGGGAACAAGCCGCUGGUAUAGUUAGUUCAAAUUCGAAAAAAAUCAAUUUUUGGUGAAAAAUUCGAUACGGGGGGGUAUACCUGAAAAAUGAAAAAACCCAAAUUUUGAAAGCCUAUAUCUCGGCUUCUAUGGGAGCUAUCGGGAAAAUUCCAACGGUUUUGUCUUAGUUUCGUCCUUCUGAAUCCAACGAGGCUAUCCGCAAGGUCGUAGCUCCCAUAUUAGCUGAGAUCUCGCAUUUUUGUGGCCCAUUUUUGGGCUCAAAAACGGGGUCGAAAAUUGACUUUUUUCCGAAUUUUCAAAGAGCUAUAAUUCCACUUGUUCUGGUCGAAUUUCGUUAUAAAUCGGUGUUUUCGUAAUAUAGGUGAUGGGAAUAAGCCGCUGAUAGGGGUUUCUAUAGCUAUUUUUGGGUUUAAAGAAAAUCGAUAUUUCGCAUUUUCAAAGUGCUAUAAUUCCCUUAGUUUUUCUCGAAACUCAUUAUAACCCGGUGUUUUCGUGUUGUAGGUGAUGGGAACAAGCCGCUGGUAUAGUUAGUUCAAAUUCGAAAAAAAUCAAUUUUUGGUGAAAAAUUCGAU